rnacentral:rRNA from 1 species
AUUGAACGCUGGCGGCAUGCUUUACACAUGCAAGUCGAACGGUAACAGGUUAAGCUGACGAGUGGUGAACGGGUGAGUAAUGCAUCGGAACGUGCCCGGUCGUGGGGGAUAACGCGGCGAAAGCUGCGCUAAUACCGCAUACGAUCUGAGGAUGAAAGCGGGGGACCGUAAGGCUUCGCGCGAUCGGAGCGGCCGAUGUCAGAUUAGGUAGUUGGUGGGGUAAAGGCUCACCAAGCCAACGAUCUGUAGCUGGUAUGAGAGGACGACCAGCCACACUGGGACUGAGACACGGCCCAGACUCCUACGGGAGGCAGCAGUGGGGAAUUUUGGACAAUGGGCGAAAGCCUGAUCCAGCAAUGCCGCGUGCAGGAAGAAGGCCUUCGGGUUGUAAACUGCUUUUGUACGGAGCGAAAAGGUCUCCUCUAAUACAGGGGGCUCAUGACGGUACCGUAAGAAUAAGCACCGGCUAACUACGUGCCAGCAGCCGCCGUAA